rnacentral:rRNA from 1 species
GAUGAACGCUGGCGGCGUGCCUAAUACAUGCAAGUCGAGCGAACGGACGAGAAGCUUGCUUCUCUGAUGUUAGCGGCGGACGGGUGAGUAACACGUGGAUAACCUACCUAUAUGACUGGGAUAACUUCGGGAAGCCGGAGCUAAUACCGGAUAAUCUUUUGAACCGCUUGGUUCAAAAGUGAAAGACGGUCUUGCUGUCACUUAUAGAUGGAUCUGCGCUGCAUUAGCUAGUUGGUAAGGUAACGGCUUACCAAGGCAACGAUGCAUAGCCGACCUGAGAGAGUGAUCGGCCACACUGGAACUGAGACACGGUCCAGACUCCUACGGGAGGCAGCAGUAGGGAAUCUUCCGCAAUGGGCGGAAGCCUGACGGAGCAACGCAGCGUGAGUGAUGAAGGUCUUCGGAUCGUAAAACUCUGUUAUUAGGGAAGAACAUAUGUGUAAGUAACUGUGCACAUCUUGACGGUAACUAAUCAGAAAGCAAAGGCUAACUACGUG